AAUAUUGCGCAAUGGAGGGAACUCUGACGCAGCGACGCCGCGUGAGUGAUGAAGGUCUUCGGAUCGUCCAGCUCUGUCCUUGGGGAAGAAGAUCUUCGGAUUUGACGGUACCCAAGGAGGAAGCCCCGGCUAACUACGUGCCAGCAGCCGCGGUAAUACGUAGGGGGCAAGCGUUGUCCGGAAUUAUUGGGCGUAAAGGGUUCGUAGGCGGUUUUUUAAGUCAGAUGUGAAAGGUCACGGCUCAACCGUGGUAAGCAUUUGAAACUGAAAGACUUGAGUUAAGGAGAGGAAAGUGGAAUUCCUAGUGUAGCGGUGAAAUGCGUAGAUAUUAGGAGGAAUACCAGUGGCGAAGGCGACUUUCUGGACUUAUACUGACGCUGAGGAACGAAAGCGUGGGGAGCAAACA
rnacentral:rRNA from 1 species